GCCCGCCUAGCUCAAUCGGAUAGAGCGUCAGACUCUUACGCGGGUGAUCUGAAGGCUGCGAGUUCGACCCUCGCGGUGGGCU